CUCGAUUGGCAAUGAGUUCUGUUCUUCUGAGAUUUUGUUUCUAUCUGAAAUCCCUGGUUGCAGAUCUCGCACACGUACCGAUCCGAUUCGAGUAGGGUCUUGGAGGACAGAGACACCACUUCUACAUCCGGAUCUGGUGUGCCUGCAGGUCCAGGUAGCUAUGAGGCACGGGUGGAAGAAAGACACGGGUUCAGCGGUUGCUGGAAUUGAGUUGCGGCGGCGCUGGUAGACGCGGGGGUUGUAGCGACAGGUAGGCCUGGCAAACGGGUCGUGUCAGUCGUGUUCGUGUCGUUUUCGUGUAACACCUGUUAUCUUAACGGGUCGUGUCGUGUCACACCCGUUAUCUUAACGGGUCCUUAACAGGUCGUGUCACUUUACCCAACGGGUAAAGUGACCCGACCCGUUAUGACCCGUUAUGACCCGUUAAGAAAAAUAUAUAUUUUUUCUUAAAUUUGCACAUACCACACCUUGCCACAUAAAUAUUACUUCAAAACAUUAAAACACAUUUGUCGUUUAAGUACUACAUCUACACUAAAAAUAAGAGCCUAAUAAAAAAAUAAUACAUACACUACUAAUCUAUUACAAAUUUUAAAUGUGCAAGGAUAUGCAAAAUGAAACAGUUUUUGUUUUCAAGAUUGUGAAAUCUUUCUCAAAAGUUUAAACCUCAAUUUACAAAAUCCUCGAUUUACAUCGAUCAUCAUGAAAUUGCAUUGGAAUAUUGGCUUGAUCUAUUGCCUUCAAGAGUUAUGUUGAUGAUGUUUUCAGUAAGGUUUUCCACGUCAUAACUAUCUUCUGCAUAAACUAAGCAUAGAAAAACCAACCAUUAAAAAUCAUUCAAAUUAUGAAAAGUUUACCAAAAUAAUUAUGAAAAAAAAUAAAACAAUAGUACUAUACCAUACUUUUAUUAAGUAUAAACAUAAGAUUUUGUGGUAUCCACUAAUGUAAAUAUUUUAAAUUGAAGAUCGAAUUCAAUCAUUGUAUUCAUAUAAGGUCAAGGAGUGUAGUUGUAAAAAAUCAUCAAAAUCGGAGUUAAAUUAACCGUUAAAUCGUGAUUUUUCGUUUAUAACCGUCGAAAAGUUUUGUCCCGUUACGUGCUCUCUGAAUGUUUGUUUUUUGCAAUUUUUGGCGUAUGCGAUCUCGAAAUAUAUACAAACAUGUUUGACGGUUGGAUCUUUGAAACUAGUUUCGUAUAAUGAGUAUCCCAUUAAAACAAUAGAUUCACUAAUACUUGAGAGUUUAUUCAUACUUUUAUUAAGUAUAACAUAAGAUUUUGUGGUUUCCACUAGUGUAAAUAUUUUAAAUUGAAGAUCGAAUUCAAUCAUUGUAUUCAUAUAGGGUCAAGCAGUGUAGUUGUAAAAAAUCAUCAAAAUCGGAGUUAAAAUGACCGUUAAAUCAUGAUUUUUCGUUUAUAACCGUCAAAAAGUUUUGUCCCGUUACUUGAUCUCUGAAUGUUUGUUUUUUGCAAUUUUUGGCGUAUGCAAUCUCGAAGUAUAUAUAAACAUGUUUGACGGUUGGAUCAUUGAAACUAGUUUCGUAGAAUGAGUAUCCCAUCAAAACAAUAGAUUCAUUAAUACUUAAUAGUUUAUUCAUACUUUUAUUAAUUAUAGUAUAAGAUUUUGUGGUAUCCACUAGUGUAAAUAUUUUAAAUUGAAGAUCGAAUUCAAUCAUUGUAUUCAUAUAGGGUCAAGGAGUGUGGUUGUAAAAAAUCAUCAAAAUCGGAGUUAAAGUGACCAUUAAAUCGUGAUUUUUCGUUUAUAACCGUCGAAAAGUUUUGUCCCGUUACUUGAUCUCUGAAUGUUUGUUUUUUGCAAUUUUUGGCGUAUGCAAUCUCGAAGUAUAUAUAAACAUGUUUGACGGUUGGAUCAUUGAAACUAGUUUCGUAGAAUGAGUAUCCCAUCAAAACAAUAGAUUCAUUAAUACUUAAUAGUUUAUUCAUACUUUUAUUAAUUAUAGUAUAAGAUUUUGUGGUAUCCACUAGUGUAAAUAUUUUAAAUUGAAGAUCGAAUUCAAUCAUUGUAUUCAUAUAGGGUUAAGGAGUGUGGUUGUAAAAAACAAUCAAAAUCGGAGUUAAAAUGACCGUUAAAUCGUGAUUUUUCGUUUAUAAUCGUCGAAAAGUUUUGUCCCGUUACUUGAUCUCUGAAUGUUUGUUUUUUGUAAUUUUUGACGUAUGCGAUCUUGAAGUAUAUACAAACAUGUUUGACGGUUGGAUCUUUGAAACUAGUUUCGUAUAAUGAGUAUCCCAUCAAAACAAUAAAUUCACUAAUACGUAAUAGUUUAUUCAUACUUUUAUUAAGUAUAAUAUAAGAUUUUGUGGUUUUCACUAGUGCAAAUAUUUUAAAUUGAAGAUCGAAUUCAAUCAUUGUAUUCAUAUAAGGUCAAGAAGUGUAGCUGCAAAAAAUCAUCAAAAUCAGAGUUAAAAUGACCGUUAAAUCGUGAUUUUUCUUUUUAUAACCGUCGAAAAGUUUUGUCCCGUUAAUUGAUCUCUGAAUGUUUGUUUUUUCUAAUUUUUGACGUAUGCGAUCUCGAAGUAUAUACAAACAUGUUUGACGGUUGGAUCUUUGAAACUAGUUUCGUAGAAUGAGUAUCUCAUUAAAACAAUAGAUUCACUAAUACUUAAUAGUUUAUUCAUACUUUUAUUAAGUAUAACAUAAGAUUUUGUGGUAUCCACUAGUGUAAAUAUUUUAAAUUGAAGAUCGAAUUUAAUCAUUGUAUUCAUAUAAGGUCAAGGACUGUAGUUGUAAAAAAUCAUCAACAUCGGAGUUAAAUUAACCGUUAAAUCGUGAUUUUUCGUUUAUAACCGUCGAAAAGUUUUGUCCCGUUACUUGCUCUCUGAAUGUUUUUUUUUUGCAAUUUUUGGCGUAUGCGAUCUCGAAAUAUAUACAAACAUGUUUGACGGUUGGAUCAUUGAAACUAGUUUCGUAGAAUGAGUAUCCCAUUAAAACAAUAGAUUCACUAAUACUUAAGAGUUUAUUCAUACUUUUAUUAAGUAUAACAUAAGAUUUUGUGGUAUCCACUAGUGUAAAUAUUUUAAAUUGAAGAUCGAAUUUAAUCAUUGUAUUCAUAUAAGGUCAAGGAGUGUAGUUGUAAAAAAUCAUCAAAAUCGGAGUUAAAUUAACCGUUAAAUCGUGAUUUUUCGUUUAUAACCGUCGAAAAGUUUUGUCCCGUUACUUGCUCUCUGAAUGUUUUUUUUUUGCAAUUUUUGGUGUGUGCGAUCUCGAAAUAUAUAAAAACAUGUUUGACGGUUGGAUCAUUGAAACUAGUUUCGUAGAAUGAGUAUUCCAUCAAAACAAUAGAUUCACUAAUACUUAAGAGUUUAUUCAUACUUUUAUUAAGUAUAACAUAAGAUUUUGUGGUAUCCACUAUUUUAAAUUGAAGAUCGAAUUCAAUCAUUGUAUUCAUAUAGGGUCAAGGAGUGUAGUUGUAAAAAAUCAUCAAAAUCGGAGUUAAAAUGACCGUUAAAUCGUGAUUUUUCGUUUAUAACCGUCGAAAAGUUUUGUCCCGUUACUUGAUCUCUGAGUGUUUGUUUUUUGCAAUUUUUGGUGUGUGCGAUCUCGAAAUAUAUAAAAACAUGUUUGACGGUUGGAUCAUUGAAACUAGUUUCGUAGAAUGAGUAUCCCAUCAAAACAAUAGAUUCACUAAUACUUAAUAGUUUAUUCAUACUUUUAUUAAGUAUAAUAUAAGAUUUUGUGGUAUCCACUAGUGUAAAUAUUUUAAAUUGAAGAUCGAAUUCAAUCAUUGUAUUCAUAUAAGGUCAAGGAGUGUAGUUGCAAAAAAUCAUCAAAAUCAGAGUUAAAAUGACCGUUAAAUCGUGAUUUUUCUUUUUAUAACCGUCGAAAAGUUUUGUCCCGUUAAUUGAUCUCUGAAUGUUUGUUUUUUGUAAUUUUUGACGUAUGAGAUCUCGAAGUAUAUACAAACAUGUUUGACGGUUGGAUCUUUGAAACUAGUUUCGUAUAAUGAGUAUCCCAUCAAAACAAUAGAUUCACUAAUACUUAAUAGUUUAUUCAUACUUUUAUUAAGUAUAACAUAAGAUUUUGUGGUAUCCAUUAGUGUAAAUAUUUUAAAUUGAAGAUCGAAUUCAUUACUUGUAUUCAUAUAGGGUCAAGGAGUGUAGUUGUAAAAAAUCAUCAAAAUCGGAGUUAAAAUAACCGUUAAAUCGUGAUUUUUCAUUUAUAACCGUCGAAAACUUUUGUCCCAUUACUUGAUCUCUGAAUGUUUGUUUUUUUGCAAUUUUUGGCGUAUGCGAUCUCGAAGUAUAUACAAACAUGUUUGACGGUUGGAUCAUUGAAACUAGUUUUGUAGAAUGAGCAUCCCAUCAAAACAAUAGAUUCACUAAUACCUAAGAGUUUAUUCAUACUUUUAUUAAGUGUAACAUAAGAUUUUGUGGUAUCCACUUGUGUAAAUAUUUUAAAUUAAAGAUCGAAUUCAAUCAUUGUAUUCAUAUAGGGUAGGCCUGGCAAACGGGUCGUGUCUGUCGUGUUCGUGUCGUUUUCGUGUAACACCUGUUAUCUUAACGGGUCGUGUCGUGUCACACCUGUUAUCUUAACGGGUCCUAACAGGUCGGGUCACUUUACCCAACGGGUAAAGUGACCCGACCCGUUAUAACCCGUUAUGACCCGUUAAGAAAAAUAUAUAUUUUUCUUAAAUUUGCACAUUCCACUCAUUACCACAUAAAUAUUACUUCAAAACAUUAAAACAUAUUUGUCAUUUAAGUACUACAUCUGCACUCGAAAAUAAGAGCCUAAUAAAAAAAACAUUCAUACACUAGUAUAUUACAAAAUAUUAAAUGUGCAAGGAUAUGCAAAAUGAAAGAGUUUUUGUUUUCAAGGUUGUGAAGCCUUUCUCAAAAGUUUAAACCUUGUCAAUGGAACUCAAAGUUUGCAUGUUAUUUCUUUUACAAAAUCCUCAAUUUUCAUCAAUCAUCAUGGGGAAAUUGUAUUGGAACUUUGGCUUGAUCUAUUGUCUUCAAGAGUUAUGUUGAUGAUGUUUUCGGUAAGGUUUUCCACGUCAGAACUCUCUUCCGCAUAAACUAAGUAUAGAAAAACCAAACAUUAAAAACCAUUCAAAUUAUGAGAAGUUUACCAAAAUAAUUAUGAAAAGAAAUAAAACAAUAGUAUUAUACCAUAUAAAAAUAUAUUACCUCCUUUUCCAAAUAGCCAAUCUCGUGUGCACAACAAAGCUUGAACUGUUUCUGGUAACAAUGAACUACGAUACUGAUCUAGUACUCUACCUCCAAUACUAAAUGCAGAUUCUGAUGCAACAGUUGAAAUGGGAAUUGUUAACACAUCUCGUGCUAACUGAGAAAGUAUCGGAUAAUGAAAACGCUCCUUUUGCCACCAAGAAAGGACAUCUAUGUCUACUUUUCUAUCUAUUCUUUUAUCCUCCAAAUACUUUUGCAACUCAUUUUUUUCAAUCGAACUUGAACCAUCGUAAUUAUUAUCAAAAUCCUACAUCAUAAAAAAAACAAAAACGAAAAACGUAAUAAGAAUCAUGCAUCAUAGUACUACUACUACAAAUAUAUAAAGUAAAUAAAAACAAACUUAUGUUACCUCAAAGAGAACAUCUCCAUAUUUUGUUUGACGAUUAGGCAUUGAAUUCACUGGAGUAUUUGAAUUAUCAAGAUGCGAAAGUUUUUCCAAGUACACACCAAAAAGAACAUUCAAUUUGUCAUUAACCUUUGUAAAUUCGACCGAAUUCACACCAUGAAGCUUUGUGUAAGCCCAAUCCACAAAAUGCAAUUUAUAACGAGGGUCUAAGAUGAUUGCAAUUGCCAAAAUCAAGCUGUACUCUGACCAAUACUUCUCAAACUUCAUGUACAUGCAAGUCCCCAUCUUAUUCAUGAAACUUUCAGAGUCAUUCAUGGCUGUUUUAAUUUGAAGUUGGAUUACGAACACCUUAGGGAAGAACAAAUUUGAUGUGGGGUACUUUGUCCCAGAGAAUAAGCAUGUAACCUCAUAAAAGUACCCCAAAUACUUGGAAAUCUUCACUAUUUUAUCCCACUCUUCAGAAGAAGGACAACUACUAAAAUUGGAAUCACUCAACCCUAAAUGAAUCAAAGCAUAUCGAUAGAAAAUUGCACUAUCUAGCAUAAUAUAGGUUGAGUUCCAUCUAGUAGGGACAUCUUGUCUCAAACCUCUCCUACUAUCCAAUAUUCCCACUUGUCUAACACAUUCAUAAAACUUUAGUUUCCUAGCCUCAGAGCCCUUUAUAUACUUGAUGCAUUCACGAAUCUUUAUCACCGAAGAAUCAAUUUCUUUAAGUCCAUCUUGGACUAUCAAAUUCAAAACAUGAGCACAACAACGCACAUGAAAGAACUCACCAUUCAUCACAAGAAGACUUCUAAGAUUCAAUUGAUUCUUCAAAAUGCUAACAAAAAGAAAUAUUUGAAGAAGCAUUAUCCAAAGUAAUAGAAAAUAACUUCUUCUCAAUCCCCCACUCAGUCACCAAUGCAUUAAUUUUCUCAGAUAAUGCAACACCAGUAUGCGGAGGAGGCAUGUGACAAAAACUUAAAAUUCUUUUAUGCAAUUUCCAAUCUUUGUCUACAAAAUGAGCAGUAAGAGCAAGAUACCCAUCAGUGCAUUGUGAGGUCCAUAAGUCUGAUGUCAAACAAAUUCUACCUUCAACUGAGCCUAACAAAUUAUGAAGCUUUUGUUUUUCAUUUUUGAACAUCCUCAACACACAAGCUUUAAUUGUAUUUCUACACGGUAACUUGAUAUCAGGAGAUAUAUAUGCAAACAAAGCCCUAAUUCCCUCAUAUUCUGAAAAACUAAACGGAAGAUUAUGCUUGAUGAUGGCCUCUACCAAUAAGCUUCGGAAUACCACAGGAUCAAAGUUUUGGGGACAUAAUUCAGACAUCGACAAUAAUCCACCAGUCGGUCCAGGGCAUGUUUUCAAAUGUCUAUUCAUAUUACCCGUCCCAUGAUGACUAUCAUCUAUUACCAAUUUCUUACAAUCUUUACAUUGAGCACGACUUUUACCAUCUUCAAAAAUAGUAGUCAAUUUGUUGAAAGUUUUCCAAACAGGAGACCUGAGUGUUCGCUUACCUAAUUUGACCACUCUAGCCUUUUUCUUUACCGGACUUGUAUUUGUAUCUUCUGUAUUCUCACUUUCAUGAUCAGGUUGUAUUCCCAUUGUAACUUCCACCGACCCUCCAUCACUAAGGUUUGUAAAAUCUUGGUCUACAACAUCCAUUGCUUUAAGAAAGAAAAACAAAACUAAGAUUAUCAAUUCUAGAUAAACAUAACUGCAAAUUACCAAACAAUACUAAGCAAUUUGCAUGAAAAUUACAAUCACUAACCAACCCCUACUUAACCAACCAAUAAGAUAACAAAUUCAUCUUCAAAAAAGGGAUCCCAGAACAAACACAUAAAAAUCAACAAACGCAUACAAACACAGAUCAAGGCAACAAGAAAUAUAAAAAAGAAACAUCAGCAUCUACUUCAAACUUUUGGUAUAUUAUAUAUACCAUCAGCAUCUAAAACAGCACCAAGUUUAUGGCACCCUAGGGCUUUAUUUAUAUUUUUUAUAUUCACCACACUAUUUGUUCAAUUCAAUAUUAAUCUUUAUGACAAUGACAUUGACUACAACAUGUAUAAUAUUAAUAUCCCCUAACAUACAAAAUACAAUAUUGGGCAGAUGAGAAGUUCAGAGAAAGAACUUACACGGAAGAGGAUGAAGUUCAGAGAGAGAACCAGGGGAGGGCCGAGAGAAGCAGGGGUCUGUCUGCGGCAGUGAAGAGAAAAGCAGAAGAGGAUAGUCUCCAAAGUCCAACCUAAAUACCUAAUGCAUAAUGGACAGCUGAGAUUAAAUCUCAGCCAAUCUAAUGGCCACCAAUUUUUUAAAUUUAAUUUAAUAUAUAGAUUCACUAACGCUUAAUAAGAUUUUGUGGUAUCCACUUGUGUAAAUAUUUUAAAUUGACGAUCGAAUUCAUCCAUUGUAUUCGUAUAGGGUCAACAAGUGUGGUUGUAAAAAAUCAUCAAAAUCGAAGUUAAAAUAACCGUUAAAUCGUGAUUUUUUGUUUUAUAACCGUCGAAAAGUUUUGUCUCAUUACUUGAUCUCUGAAUGUUUUUUUUUUGUGAUUUUUGGCGUAUGCGAUCUCGAAGCAUAUACAAACAAGUUUGACGGUUUGAUCAUUGAAAUUAGUUUCAUAGAAUUUGUAUCUCAUCAAAACGAUAGAUUCAUUAACACUUAGAGUUUAUUUAUACCUUCAUUAAGUAUAAAAUAAGAUUUUGUGGUAUCCACUUGUGUAAAUAUUUUAAAUUGACGAUCGAAUUCAUUCAUUGUAUUCGUAUAGGGUCAACAAGUGUAGUUGUAAAAAAUCAUCAAAAUCGAAGUUAAAAUAACCGUUAAAUCGUGAUUUUUUGUUUUAUAACCGUCGAAAAGUUUUGUCUCAUUACUUGAUCUCUGAAUGUUUUUUUUUUGUGAUUUUUGGCGUAUGCGAUCUCGAAACAUAUACAAACAAGUUUGACGGUUUGAUCAUUGAAAUUAGUUUCAUAGAAUUUGUAUCUCAUCAAAAUGAUAGAUUCACUAACACUUAGAGUUUAUUUAUACCUUCAUUAAGUAUAAAAUAAGAUUUUGUGGUAUCCACUUGUGUAAAUAUUUUAAAUUAACGAUCGAAUUCAUUCAUUGUAUUCGUAUAGGGUCAACAAGUGUAGUUGUAAAAAAUUAUCAAAAUCGAAGUUAAAAUAACCGUUAAAUUGUGAUUUUUUGUUUUAUAACCGUCGAAAAGUUUUGUCUUGUUACUUGAUCUCUGAAUGUUUGUUUUUUUGUGAUUUUUGGCGUAUGCGAUCUCGAAGCAUAUACAAACAAGAUUGACGGUUGGAUCAUUGAAAUUAGUUUCAUAGAGUUCGUAUCCCAUCAAAACGAUAGAUUCACUAACACUUAGAGUUUAUUUAUACUUUUCAUUAAGUAUAACAUAAGAUUUUGUGGUAUCCACUUGUGUAAAUAUUUUAAAUUGACGAUCGAAUUCAUUCAUUGUAUUCGUAUAGGGUCAACAAGUGUAGUUGUAAAAAAUCAUCAAAAUCGAAGUUAAAAUAACCGUUAAAUCGUGAUUUUUUGUUUUAUAACCGUCGAAAAGUUUUGUCUCAUUACUUGAUCUGUGAAUGUUUGUUUUUUGUGAUUUUUGGCAUAUGCGAUCUCGAAGCAUAUACAAACAAGUUUGACGGUUUGAUCGUUGAAGUUAGUUUCGUGUAUCCCAUCAAGUUCAAUGGUGUGUAUAUUAUAUAUAUAUAUAUAUAUAUAUAUUUUCUUAUAUAUAUAUAUUUAUUUAUUUAUUAUGUAAAUUUAAAUCUAUUUAUUUUGUAAGUAUAAUUAUUAUAGUUUUUUUAGGGGUAUAAAAUAUAAUUUAAAAUUUAAUAUAUAUAUAUAUAUAUAUAUAUAAUUAUUAUAGUUUUAAACUUUUUAGGGGUAUAAAAUUGUUAAAUUAAUAUAUAUAAUUAUUAUAGUAUUUUUUAGGGUUAUAAAAUUAUUAAAUUAAUAUUCUGCUUAUCGUGUAUCGUGUUACCCACGUGUAUACCCGAACCAACCCGUUAUCUUAACAGGUGCUUAUCGGGUUACCCGAUAAUACCCGAUUCGUUAUCGUGUCGACUCAAACACCUGUUAAUUUCCGGUCGUGUCGUGUCGGGUUAUCGGGUCGUGUCAUGAAUUGCCAGGCCUAAUAUAGGGUCAAGGAGUGUGGUUGUAAAAAAUCAUCAAAAUCGGAGUUAAAGUGACCAUUAAAUCGUGAUUUUUCGUUUAUAACCGUCAAAAAGUUUUGUCCCGUUACUUGCUCUAUGAAUGUUUGUUUUUUGCAAAUUUGGCGUAUGCGAUCUCGAAGUAUAUACAAACAUGUUUGACGGUUGGAUCGUUGAAAUUAGUUUCGUAUAAUUCGUAUCCCAUGAAGUUCAAUGGUGUGUGUGUGUGUAUAUAUAUAUUUAUUUAUUAAGUAGAUUUAAAUCUAUUUAUUUUGUAUGUAUAAUUAAUAUAGUUUUUAGGGGUAUAAAAUUUAAUAUAUAUAUAUAUAUAUAAUUAUUAUAGUUAAUAUUUUGGGUAUAAUUAUUAUAGUAUAUAUAAUUAUUAUAAUUAUUAUAGUUAAUUUAAUAUAUAUCUAUAUAAUUAUUAUAGUUUUUAGGGGUAUAAAAUUGUUAAAUUAAUAUAUAUAUAUAUAUAAAUAUAAUUAUUAUAGUAUUUUUUAGGGUUAUAAAUUAUUAAAUUAAUAUUCUGCUUAUCGUGUAUCGUGUUACCCACGUGUAUACCCGAACAAACCCGUUAUCUUAACAGGUGCUUAUCGGGUUACCCGAUAACGACCCGUUUCGUUAUCGUGUCGACUCGAACACCUGUUAAUUUCGUGUCGUGUCGUGUCGGGUUAUCGGGUCGUGUCAGGAAUUGCCAGGCCUAGCGACAGGUAUGUGGACUUGCUCCGGGUGUACGCACCAUAUGCAGUACGUGGGGUUUGGUGGAGUGAGGCAGCCAUGGAUGACGACUUUGGCGUGAAGAGUGUGAGGAUGGGCAACUAGGCUUGUCCGGACCAUUGUUGGCCCAAUAGCAUUGUUGAUGCUGGAGCUUGGUGUUGGGCCGAGACGUAAAUAUAUAUGUUUCCCUUUUUUUUUUUUUUUUUUUUUUUUUUUUUUUUUCUAAAUACAUAAUAACAUAUGUAUUCAUUUUUUUUUUUCGAAGAAACUGUAAUUUAUUUUGUACAAAGAGAAUUGCAAAUUUUCUUAACAAAAUAAAUUUGUAAUAAAAUUGACCUUCUUUAAU
rnacentral:lncRNA from 1 species